UCAUACGGCGGGCGGUGCGCGGGGAUCCCGAUCCGCCGGUUAAUGAGUGUCGCGUAGUCCGGUACGCCAACCCGCAUCGCCCGCCACCUUG
rnacentral:antisense_RNA from 2 species